GUUCCUAGGGGCUUUGGCGUCCGGGCCGGUUACGGUCUCCCGUGGCAAUCUGGUGCCAAGGUCGGGGUCAGACAAAGUCCAAUUGAAAGAUCUUGAUGAUGUCCGACUACGUCAGCAAACCACACCUGAAUUAGAGAAACCAGGGCACCUUCCUGGACCCAGGACUAGUGGUGCCUGGUGGUCGGGCUUUAGCCCGUUGGGCUCAGCCUGAAAAAACAUGGGCUCACCACAUGAGGUGGGGGGUAGUCAAGGUUGGUUGCACUGAGAGAUGGUGGCAAGUGUGGACCUGUGAGGUUAAACAAAACCAUCUGGAUAUAGUUGGGCCCGCGUUCACACUCAGUUUGGGUUCUAGAAGCUAUUCAUGUAUUCUGGAGUCGUCACAGGAAGAACAGCAUCAGGCUGGUGUGGCUUACAAGCCCCCGGCUGAGUGUCGGUGUUGGACCUCUCCUCUCUGAGUGACAGCUGGGAUCACAAGAGGAAAGGUUCUGGAUGUCGUCUGAGUCCGGGCCGAACAAAAAUUCUGGUUCCUUCAUUCUCUCCAGACUCAUAAACUAGAUUUUUUUUAAACGUUACGGUUCAUUAAUGUACCUUUGGUAUUAUAAACGGACAUGCUGUACAGAAAUCUCACUGAGUCUGGUUUGAUCAUCUGUGGUUCUGAUCCAAACGGAUGGAUGAGGUGUUCACAGAUUAUUAUUAUUCACUUCAAGAAAUUAUUCCUACUUAAAUCACUAGUGGUCCAGUUAUCAUUUCCCCUAAUAAUGGCUACUUAUUUUUAUUUUACUUAUUUAAGUUGAAUUAGUUGACAAAGACUAUGGACCAAAACUGACAGUUAAAAAUAAAAGCAGAAAUAUAUAAAUGGCCCAAUAAAUAAAUCAACACAUUUAAAAUGCACCAAUUAAUUUUAAAAAGGUGAACUUUACCUCAUGUUUUAUAAUUUGACAUUCAUAUUUUUUUUCAGGUUAGUCAUUCAAGCACAUAAUAUUAAUUUUACUGUUUUUAAUAUUAGGUUUUCCUCAUACUGCAUUUAUGUCUCUUUAAUUUUCCCCUUUAAAGUUUUUACCUUGUUUUUUUCCAACAAGUCUUUUUAUUUUCAUGUUUUCUUUUUUACAUUUUUCUUUCUCCUAUUUUUUACUUUACUUUAUGCAUUUCUGCCUCAUUAUGCAAACCAGUUGGGCCGCCCUUCUUGGGUCAGGUCCUCUACCGUUGGUCAAGAGGCAGAAAGGAGCAGGAUCCAUGUGCAGAUCGAUGCUUCAUGCAAGCGCUUGUGGCCGUUUCAGGAGAACGGACCUUGUUUGAGAGGAAGUGGAGUCCCAGCAGAGAUGACAGUUGCCUCCUCGAGCCUUGGAAUCGUUUUUGCUCACAGAUAUUGCAGGACUUUUUGGGGUCAGUGAAUGAACAGGAUGGCAGAAUAAGGGAUGCAUGUGUGUCGUUUCUGUUAUAAACUGAACACGAUAGAUGUUAUGUCACAAUUAUAAAAAUACAAAAUACUUCUAUGGGUUCAAAUGUAAAUAUAAUGAAUGAACAACAUAUAUUAAGUCUUUAACACAAACUUUUGAAUUAUGAGCAACAUGCUUCAUAAUAAAAUAUAUUCAUUUGGUGAGCGCACAGACCACGUCAGCAGAGUAAUGAUGAAUGUUAAUAUCCACCGUUACACAGCACUUUUCCAGAUUGCUCCUACGGUACAGCUUUUCUUAAAAUGUGAAAUACAUACGUCAGAAAUCCAGUGUGUAAAAUAUGCCACCAGUUGUCAACCAGACUCUAGGCCAGUAGGGGGCCAGUUUUUUUGUGCUGCCAGAGUAUUUUGCAUGUAAAUUAGUAUAUUUGGUGUCAUAAGCUGAAUGAUUAAAUGCAGGGUAAGCUAAUGUGUCUGCUCAAGAAAAAUAGUCCAAAACUGACCAGACAUUAUGUUUUUUGUGUUUUUUUUUUUUUUUUAUAGAGUAUCCGAGUUGUUCAGCGAUAUGGGAGAUCAUGAGCUGGAUGCAGUUAUGAGGGAAAUUUUAAGUUAUCAUCCCAAUACAGGAUACAAGAUGACGUUGGGCUAUUUGAAUGUUUGAGGUAUUCAGAUUUAAAGUAAGUGAGACUAACAGAUGUGCUUGUGACAAUCACAGUGUAGGCAUCAUGUAAUGUAAUGACAAAUUGAUGAUUGUUUAUCCCUCCUAGACAAUGUAGAAAAGGAGACCAAAUAGACCCUUCAGACUCCACACACAGGUCACAACUUUUAAAAGGAAAGUUUGUGUUUUAAAUUGAUUACAAUCACAAGGUAAAAUCCUAAUUCUGAAUAAUGUACCUUUUUGAAUGUGUUCAUCAGAAAAAAAAUCAAACAUGUUUUAAUUAUGAUCUCGUUCCGUUUUUUAAGGUGACAAGUGCCAGAAGAUAUGCACCGUGUGGACCAGCAGGGAAUUUUGAUGCACACUUUCCAGCUACAGACGGUUCAGCGUAGAAGAUAUUCUGUUCCAACAGUGUGAAGCCCAUAGAUGGAUGUUAAUAAUUUGUACUGAUGGCGAACUGUCGUUCACGGGGGGCUUCAGUCGCCUUAUUGUUUACCUGAAUGCUGCCACCUACAAUCGCACCACAACAGUUCAUAGCAGCUUUCUUGGAGCUGUGAAUACAUAUGGAGUGCCAUCAUGCGUUCGCUCUGACAAAGGAGGAGAGAAUGUUCAAGUGGCACACAUGGUCUCAGCCUGAGGCCCAGGCAGAAAUUCUCACCUUACUGGAUUGAGAGACUAUGGAGAGAUGUCUGCUACCUGAAGACUCAGAUUCACCUGUAUGCACUAUACUGGACCUUUCGUCCUCAAAUCCACAAACAUCUUCAGUUAUUCACGGAUGGCUGGAAUAACCACAAACUACAUACAGAAGGGAACCAAUCACCACACUUCUUAUGGUCUCAGUAUCAGCAUGAAGGUCACAACCCUGCCUAAGUUGGUUUUGUAAAUGCAAUGAUACAGAGUAUAUACACUCACUGGCCACUUUAUUAGGUACACCUGUCCAACUGCUUGUCAAUGCA